AUGGCUGGGGUGCCGGGCGAUCUAGCGGCUCGUCCUGCCCUUGAUUUCUGCAUGGUGGCCUCCACUGGAGAGACUGAGCGAUUGCGUGAGCUUUUCACUGCUCGCUCGGUUGUCGCCUGGGUUGAAGAAGGGGAAAGGGUGGAGGCGAGCACAUUUGCUGAUGAUGUGCGCACUGCAUUCCGCAUCCGCCGCUCUGAUAUCCAAGUCACGAAGUUCCAUCCUGAAGAUUUCUUUCUCACGCUCACUAAUCAUAGUGAUCGGGAGGCCAUCCUGCAAGAACCAAGACUGAUGCUGAGAAAUGGCCGUGUGUAUCGCUUCCGUCCAUGGGACGAGAGGCGCGGUGCUGAAUGCGUCGACGUUCGCUUCAGGUAUACAGAUGCAAUUGCGGCAAAGAUCAUCGGCAAGAAGAGCUCCAUCCACUACAUUGAAGAAUACUCAAGGCGUCGAAACUACAACCGCACUUUUGACUAUUGGGUAUGGAGCUCAGACCCGAGCUCUAUCCCACGAGCAACAAGGUUGACAAUCACGUCAGCAGACGAGGAGGGGCUCCCAGUUGACACUCCCUUCCCGGAGCUGGAAGCUGUGCAUCCUGCCCCUUCUGACACAAAAAAGGUCUCACCUAUCAUGUUCUUAUUCAUAUUGACACUUUGCAAGACCUGGUGUCCCGACAGGUCCGCUGCUUCCAGUGGCAAGCAGGGAGCCGGACAGGGGCGAUCGCCCGCAGUACAAUCAAGACAACAGAGGGCGGUAGAGAAGCAGAGCUACAGACGAGAGCCGAAGCCGAAGCCGAAGCCGCCAUCUCUCGCGCUCUGUAGAGCCGGGAGAAACAAGACUGCGCAAUCAAGAGAGUCUACCCCCGCGGCUAAGGAGAAGGUGAUUGUGCAGGUCCAGUCCCCCUGCAAAACCCCUCCUCCUUACCGAAAUGAUAGCCCUGAUAGGGGUUCGGCCUGCAACAGAAUUUCUUCCUCCGUGACACCUGCUGAUCUGACUUUUUCUUCGCAGGAUUCGGGUGCGAUCCUCAAGUUGCUGGAGAAACACCUGGAUCCCAUGCUCCAUGAAGCUUCCAUCCGCAACAUCGUCUACUCUCCAGACACUUCCUCGUCGGCACCUGCUUCCCCUGUUUUC
rnacentral:lncRNA from 1 species